rnacentral:lncRNA from 1 species
UCCUGCCACCAGAGUCAUGGGCCAGAUAAACCUCUUUGCUCACCAGGGUUGGCUUCUUGGGUGAACUUCUUCAGAAUAUGCCUCAAUCUCCUGCAGAAUGAUACUUGCCCUGGCCCCACCAGCAGUGCCUCAACUGGACAUUCUUCAAGGUCAUUGUCCUCAAGAACAUAAACCAGGAAGGUGCAGUGGAUCCUCAAAUUAUGACCAGCCU